UAAAAAAAAAUAUUGUAAACUUUGGUCGCAAUCAAAAAUAUGUCAAUAAAAUAUCUGGACACAUUAAUGAUGUUGAUCUCAUAAUUAAAUUUAAAAAAGUAUAAAAAUACGGGUUAACGUGGUAUUAAAAAACACUUGCGCAUAGAAUCUCUCAGAGUCACUUUCUUCAUCAGCAUUAUCAGUGUGAAGAGAUACAUUUUAAAAGAAAAAAGACUCCUUUUAUUUCAAGAAAACUUAUUCAAAGGAAAAAUGAUUACAAUUUUAUUGAGUUGUUUUUAGAAAAUGGGAAACUGUAUUGUAAAGUUGUUAGAGCAAAAUGUUUAAAUGAACAAACUUUCAAAUAACUUCUCAAUGUUGAACACAACACCCAUUAAGGAAGAGAAUACUCCAAAUAGCUUUUUCGAAAUACAUUUAUAAGCGAUGCCGUUGUUGUGUAGUGUAGAACAAUAGCUACUAUACCAAGAACGAAGAGUUAAAACUUGAAGAGAACGAGUAGUGAAAUGGUAAAACUUAAUAUUAUACUUCCUUGGUGGCUCUAUCCCAACAUCGUGGGGUCUACCUAUGUUUUUUGUUUUAAUGAACUCGUAUAACAAUUCACAUAUUAACUCUUUAUGCACUUUAUGUACCUAACAAAAUUUAUUGAAACAGUCGUAAAUAUGUCUUUGGCGGAGAACACGUAUGAUAUGUACACGUACGCGUACGACAAACGUCAGGAUUACAAUGAGUUAAACUAUUUAGAGUAUUUGCAGAUACGAGUAAUAUGAUAUCGUUUUCAUGUAUUUAGUUUUGUGCUUAUGUUUUGAAUUUGUUGUAGUUUGUUUACGAAGUGGUAGUUACAAGUCUGAAGAUGAAAUUAUCCAUAGUUAUUUAUAAUUAAAUCAAAGAUGAUUAACUAAAGAAAAUAGUAAAUUAAGAUCUCUUAAAUAAAAAUGUCCAACUUUUCAGACAUUUCUCAACAAUAUAUCAACUAUUUAAUUUCUGAAAAUUUUACAACACUAAUUGAAGUGAAAACGAGUGGAAUCGUCCUAAUUAUUUAUGACGAAUCAUAUAUACAUAUUUAAAAUUGACAGGAAACUGUUAUCACUUAAAAUAUGUAAUCUAUUUAACAUCAUUACUAGCGCUUGGAAAUAUCAUUGGAUAUAAUUUAUUUAAUUUUUUUCCACUUGUCAAAGAUUUUGAACUGCAAGAGAUAUAUAGUAGAGAUGUAUAUGACACCGAUAAAAAGACAUGGUUUUAUACAGUAGUAUAUUAUGUUAUUUCGUUACCAAAAGUUUUACCAUAAUAAGAAUACAAAACUUCGAUAAGAACUGAUGAAGAAAUAAAACUGAUAAUUAAUAUGUAAAUUGAAUUA